rnacentral:rRNA from 1 species
AACGAACGCUGGCGGCAGGGCCUAACACAUGCAAGUCGAGCGCCCCGCAAGGGGAGCGGCGGACGGGUGAGUAACGCGUGGGAACGUGCCCUCUUCUACGGAAUAGCCUCGGGAAACUGGGAGUAAUACCGUAUACGCCCUUAGGGGGAAAGAUUUAUCGGAGGAGGAUCGGCCCGCGUUGGAUUAGGUAGUUGGUGGGGUAAUGGCCUACCAAGCCGACGAUCCAUAGCUGGUUUGAGAGGAUGAUCAGCCACACUGGGACUGAGACACGGCCCAGACUCCUACGGGAGGCAGCAGUGGGGAAUCUUAGACAAUGGGCGCAAGCCUGAUCUAGCCAUGCCGCGUGAGCGAUGAAGGCCUUAGGGUUGUAAAGCUCUUUCAGGGGGGAAGAUAAUGACUGUACCCCCAGAAGAAGCCCCGGCUAACUCCGUGCCAGCAGCCGCGGUAAAGUAUCG